rnacentral:rRNA from 1 species
AUUGAACGCUGGCGGCAGGCCUAACACAUGCAAGUCGCACGAGUGGCGGACUGGUGAGUAAUGUCUGGUAAACUGCCUGAUUGAGGGGGAUAAAUACUGGAAACGGUAGCUAAUACCGCAUACCAUCGGAUGUGCCCAGAUGGGAUUAUCUAGUCGGUGGGGUAAAGGCUCACCUGGGCGACGAUCCCUAGCUGGUCUGAGAGGAUGACCAGCCACAGUGGAACUGAGACACGGUACAGGAUCCUCAAGAAGGCAGCAGUGGGGAAUAUUGCAAAAUGGGGGAAAGCCUGAUGCAGACAUGCCGCGUGUAUGAAGAAGGCAUUGGGGUUGUAAAGUACUUUCAGCGGGGAGACGUUACCCGCAGAAGAAGCAACGGCUAACUCCGUGCCAGCAGCCGCGGUAAUUC